rnacentral:rRNA from 1 species
CCUACGGGAGGCUGCAGUGGGGAAUAUUGGACAAUGGGGGGAACCCUGAUCCAGCGACGCCGCGUGAGUGAAGAAGUAUUUCGGUAUGUAAAGCUCUAUCAGCAGGGAAGAAAGAAAUGACGGUACCCCUUGAAUAAGCCACGGCUAACUACGUGCCAGCAGCCGCGGUAAUACGGAGGUGGCAAGCGUUGUCCGGAUUUACUGGGUGUAAAGGGCGUGCAGCCGGAGAGACAAGUCAGAUGGGAAAUCCGCAGGCUCAACCUGCGAAUUGCAUUUGAAACUGGUUCCCUUGAGUAUCGGAGAGGUCAGCGGAAUUCGUGGUGUAGCGGUGAAAUGCGUAGAUAUUAGGAAGAACACCAGUGGCGAAGGCGGAUGACUGGACGACAACUGACGGUGAGGCGCGAAAGCGUGGGGAGCAAACAGGAUUAGAUACCCCAGUAGUC